UAAAUUUCCAGGAAUUGUGCUGUGUUCUAAUGAUUUCUCACUUGAUUUGUUGGUCAUGACAAUUUAGCAAAUCAAAUGUUAAUUUCUUGACAUUAAUUCCUUCUUCAAAUCCAUAUCUUACUCCCGGUGUGUCAUUUUUGGGGUGAUUGACUGAUUGGUGACCUUAUCAAGCAGGAAAAAGAGCAAGACUAUUCUUGUAUUGUGUUUAUGCUUGUGCAGAUGGUAGGGUUUUACAUGAAUUCCUUUUCUUGGUUUUUCUCUUUUUCCCUAAUGAUUGAUCAGUUGUUGAGGCUUCAAUUACUAAUUAAAUAUCAGAGAAGAAAAAUUUGUGGUAUCGAGCCGUAGAAUCAUCCAUUGAUACUUGUAUUAGGGUAGACUGCCUAUAUCACACCCUUUGGGUCCGGCCCUUUCCCAGAUCCUGCGUAAACGCGAGAUACUUCGUGCACUGGACUGCCUUUUUUUUUUAGAAAUUCAUGGUAUGUGCCUGCACCCUCUUAUCGAUGAUAAAUUGUAUGGUUCAAUCAAGCCACAAGCCCAAUUACUAGUACUGUUUUUUUCUUGUGGAUGUAUAUGAGCUGUUGAUCAUUGGAAACAUCCUGUUUAUCAUAUGAAAAUAAUUAAUGGCGCAAUAGUUCCUCAAACAAUAGAAAAUUUGUACUGGUCAAGUCUUUUGCUCUCUCAAUCACUUUAUUUCUAACAAUUUGUAGCUUUAAGGUUAACUAAUUAUCUAUCCGGAAGGAGUAAAAGUUUGCAAGUAUCCUCACUUUUCUCAUGAUGUUGCAGCUGAAUAAAUUCCAAAACAGCAAUAUCAACCCUAGUUUUCACGGGACACAGAAAGAUAUUAAAGGUUUUUCCACAUCCUUUGACUUUGCUGUUGGUGAAGAUGCAUAAAAACCAAUUGCAAGUUUGGUUCUACAAUAGAUUUGUCUAACAGCAAUUUCCAGCGGACGCCAUUAUUUUUUUUCUUUCAAUGAAUAGGAAGAAGGAGAGCCGCGAGAGCAAUGGUAAAGUUGACUCCGUGUGGGUUCAAACCAUGGGAAGAUAGCUGAAUUGAAAGAGGCAGAUUCAAGAUGGACAGGACAAUUGAAGACAGCAUUCUUAUUUCAGUGUUUCACAAUUACAAACAGCUGACAUGUUUGAGUGCGUUUUUUUGGGGGGCAAUACCGAAGUUAAUUGAAGAAGAGGGAACACCGUUCGAAUUAGCAAAAUUCAAACCAAUGUGAUAUGAGUUAUGAGCCAGUGGACACUGAGCUCUUUCCAUAUAUGUCUCCAUAAUAUUCGAC
rnacentral:lncRNA from 1 species